AUGUGCAUACCAAAAGUUAGGGAAGGCAUGGGAUUUAGGGAUCGCCAUGCUUUUAACUUAGCAAUGUUGGCAAAAAGAUGGAGAUUGAUAACCCAUCCUAAAACUUUAUCUGCCAAAGUUUUACGAGCUAAAUACUUCCCUGACGGUAAUAUUGUUAAGGCGGGGCCAAAGAAGGGGUCAUCUUACACAUGGAAAAGCAUUUUUGCAGGGCUACAAACAUUCCGCAGAGGUCACAUUUGGCAUAUUGGCUCAGGAGUGAAAGUAAAUAUAUGGGAUGAUCACUGGAUUUCGUCUAGUCAGACUAGGAUGAUUAUGACUAGGAGAGGUAAUACCUUGCUCAAGACAGUGGAUGAACUGAUGAUUUCGGGUACUGCAAGCUGGGACGAGGAACUGAUAAGAAGCAUUUUCUUGCCGUUGGAUGCGGAGAGAAUAGUCAAUAUCCCACUGUCAGAAAAUGCUAUAGAGGAUUUUGUUGCUUGGAAUCACACAAAAUAAUUUUCCUUUACGGUCCGAUCAGCAUAGUACGUUGAGUGGGAACACCAAUUUGGGUCGAGAUGUUCGAGUAUUCAGAGCAUGUCUAAUAUGAACCCAAUUUGGGAAACGGUUUGGAAACUGGAAAUGCAUACCAAAGUUAAGAUCUUUGUAUGGAGAGCGCUGCAUGGCUUGAUCCCUGGCAUGGCUGUGCCGGCUCGACGACAUAUCAAAGUUUCACCACUGUGUCCUGUGUGUCGUUUUAUCCUGGAAGACAUCAAACAUCCAAUUUUCAGUUGUCCAAGAUCAGUUUUAGUUUGGCGUGCACUGGGAUUAGAUGCCAUCAUUAAGCAAGCUCUUAUCGUGGAUCGUUCUGGCUCAGUAUUACUUGAAGAAUUGUUGCGCCUACCGCGAGGGAGCUCACCGGUGCUUUAG
rnacentral:rRNA from 1 species